ensembl:snoRNA small nucleolar RNA SNORA49
UUUCCCCUCCCUUACUCCAGGUUCUCACGUUCCAGUUGAGUGUCCUGGCAUUGACAGGGGAUACAGUAAUGUGAUUCUUUUGCACUUCUUUGUUGUCAUUUUUGGCAAUCGGGCACGUAAGAGAAGCUACACU